rnacentral:rRNA from 2 species
UACGUAGGUGGCAAGCGUUAUCCGGAAUCAUUGGGCGUAAAGGGUGCGUAGGUGGCACGAUAAGUCUGAAGUAAAAGGCAACAGCUCAACUGUUGUAUGCUUUGGAAACUGUCGAGCUAGAGUGCAGAAGAGGGCGAUGGAAUUCCAUGUGUAGCGGUAAAAUGCGUAGAUAUAUGGAGGAACACCAGUGGCGAAGGCGGUCGCCUGGUCUGUAACUGACACUGAUGCACGAAAGCGUGGGGAGCAAAUAGG